GGCGAAUGUAUCAGGUGAAUCAACACUAUUUUUCCUUUCUUUUCAGUUUUCUGAGACAGAGUCUGGCUUUGUAGCCCACGCUCGCCUCCAACUCACACGUGUCUUCCUGCCUCAGCCUCUGGAGUGCUGGGAAACACAAGUGUGCCACACCAUGUCCGGCUCAAGGCCCUUGGCCAGGGUCCCGCGGCUGCGGUCGGCGUGGGAUGAGGAAGUGUUUGGAGACCUGUGCUCUCGUGACGAACAAGCAAGGACGUGAACGAUACUCUGGGAGCCAAAGCCACACAUUUCCGGUCCCUGUAACUGCAGCCCAGCCACGUGCCACCCUUGGGAGAGACACAGUUCUGUGUCACAGGAAGGACUAAGGUGACCGUCACCGCGCACUAAC
rnacentral:lncRNA from 1 species